GCGGAGGGCGGGUGACCCGGUCCUGAGCCGCGGCCGUGCCGCGCGCCGAGCGCUUCGUGAGCGGGCCGCUCGGUACUUCUCUGUGGUUUUCAGGACAUCGGCUUUCGUCUGAGCACAGCAGACUGAAGAUGUGAUGGAUGGAGCUUCAGCAGUCAGCUGGGAAACCACGAGGAUGAGGCCCAUGCCCCGAGAUUACGAUGGAGCCAGGAUCCAUGAGGACCUUAUAGAGCCACCAAACCAGUGUUGGCUUGAAGGAUUGUCCGGAAUAAGUGAAUUCAUAAAGACAACAAGUUAAGUCAAACCGUAGGGCAGAUGAACAGUCAACUGUUAUCACAGGAUGAGUGAGGCUGGAGACAAAAGUCAAAAUCUUCUAAAGUGAGGCAGAAUUGAGAAGAUUCUGAGACAAGCUGAGAAGUAUUACUCCGUAUGGAUGGCAGCUCCUGGCUACACACGGUUCUGUGAGGCUGAGUCCAUUCCUUGGCACAGGUCAGCAAAGGGCAGCCGUCCAUCAGGAUGGAAACUGCCCUGGGAAUUCCAAACAUGGUGUGCAUCCUUUUCUGUCUUCUAGCUCCCUCCCCAGAUCCACUCUAAUUAAAAGUAUGACUGUUCUUGGGAGAUCCCUGGGUGGCUCAGCGGUUUAGCACCUGCCUUUGCCCCAGGGUGUGGUCCUGGAGUCCCAGGAUCGAGACCCACAUUGGAGUCCUACAUGGAGCCUGCUUCUCCCUUUGCCUGUGUCU